rnacentral:rRNA from 1 species
UUACCUUGUUACGACUUCACCCCAAUCAUCAGCCCCACCUUCGGCAGCGUCCCCCUCGCGGUUAGACUACUGACUUCGGGUGUUGCCAACUCUCAUGGUGUGACGGGCGGUGUGUACAAGGCCCGGGAACGUAUUCACGGCAGUAUGCUGACCUGCCAUUACUAGCAAUUCCGACUUCAUGUGGGCGAGUUGCAGCCCACAAUCUGAACUGAGACUACUUUUCUGGGAUUUGCUCCGCUUCUCAGCUUCGCUUCCCUCUGUAGUAGCCAUUGUAGUACGUGUGUAGCCCAGGACAUAAGGGGCAUGAUGAUUUGACGUCAUCCCCACCUUCCUCCGAUUUGUCACCGGCAGUCUCGCUAGAGUGACCACCUCUAUGUGCUGUCAACUAACGACAAGGGUUGCGCUCGUUGCGGGACUUAACCCAACAUCUCACGACACGAGCUGACGACAACCAUGCACCACCUGUACUGAUGCCCCGAAGGCUGCGUCAAUCUCUUGCGCAUCCAUCAGUAUGUCAAGCCCUGGUAAGGUUCUUCGCGUUGCUUCGAAUUAAACCACAUACUCCACUGCUUGUGCGGGCCCCCGUCAAUUCCUUUGAGUUUCAACCUUGCGGCCGUACUCCCCAGGUGGGAUACUUAUUGUGUUAAUCCGGCACGAAGGCGUCGAUACCUCCACACCUAGUAUCCAUCGUUUACAGCGUGGACUACCAGGGUAUCUACUCCUGUUUCCUCCCA